rnacentral:tRNA from 1 species
GGCCUCAUAGUUGAAUAACAACAUUAAAUUGCAGAUUUAAAAGUGUACCCCGUACUAAGGCUU